rnacentral:rRNA from 1 species
CGCGGCCUAUCAGCUUGUUGGUGAGGUAAUGGCUCACCAAGGCGACGACGGGUAGCCGGCCUGAGAGGGCGACCGGCCACACUGGGACUGAGACACGGCCCAGACUCCUACGGGAGGCAGCAGUGGGGAAUAUUGCACAAUGGGCGAAAGCCUGAUGCAGCGACGCCGCGUGAGGGAUGACGGCCUUCGGGUUGUAAACCUCUUUCAGCAGGGAAGAAGCGAAAGUGACGGUACCUGCAGAAGAAGGCCCGGCCAACUACGUGCCAGCAGCCGCGGUGAUACGUAGGGGUCUAGCGUUGUCCGGAAUUAUUGGGCGUAAAGAGCUCGUAGGCGGUUCGGCAAGUCGGAUGUGAAAUCUCCACGCUUAACGUGGAGGGGCCAUUCGAAACUGCCGUGACUCGAGUCCGGUAGGGGAGUUCGGAAUUCCCGGUGUAGCGGUGAAAUGCGCAGAUAUCGGGAGGAACACCAGUGGCGAAGGCGGAACUCUGGGCCGGAACUGACGCUGAGGAGCGAAAGCGUGGGGAGCGAACAGGAUUAGAUACCCUGGUAGUCCACGCCGUAAACGUUGGGCACUAGGUGUGGGGUUCUAU